rnacentral:tRNA from 1 species
GCCCCUAUCGUCUAGUGGCCUAGGAUACCAGGUUCUCAUCCUGGGGACACGGGUUCGACUCCCGUUAGGGGCG